rnacentral:tRNA from 1 species
GGGGAUUUAGCUCAGCGGCAUAAGCGCCUGCCUUGCAAGCAGGCAGGUCAUGAGUUGGAUCCCCA